rnacentral:lncRNA from 1 species
UUUUUGAGCAGCAUUUGUUGUUUACUUUCUUUGUAGGGUUGUCUCCCAUUUUUAUGGUGUUGACCUAAAAUUCCUCAAAUAGUUGAUGUUGUUCUUUCCUCAGCAGAUCUCCUCUUUCCCCAGCCAGGGUUGAGCCCUUCAGGAUGUUGAUCUCUCUGUUCUCCAUCAGUUUUGUCUCCAUAUUUUGUGGAUUGACCAAGGAUUGUACCGGUGGUUCAAUUUAUUUGCGAAACCUCU